rnacentral:misc_RNA from 1 species
GUGUUGGUGGCGUUGGUUGUCUGCGUGAGCUUCGCAAGAACCGAGAGACCUUCCCUCCUUGUGUAUCCCUCACUCGUACAUCACCGUUCAUCUGCCUGCGGGCACCGUCUUUCACGCUAGAUUCGGCUCUCUCUGUGGCAGAUGAAGCCGAUCGCGUUGGGCUUCCAGAUUCCGUCGCUGCGAGACUCGUGUGAGGCGUCCGCGGCCGUGUGGACGCUGGCGGUUCCUUACCCGAUUGGCAAGUCCACCUUGCAGAUCAGUGGCAUUCACGCGCGACUUGAGCCUGUGAAAACGUCCGCUUGCAAGAGCAACGGCGCCGUCAAACAUGGGCAGCAGCAGCAGCACACAAAGAGCGUGCCGUCAUCUCUGCUUCUUGGCGAUGCACUGACGGCUGAUAUCGUUGUGCACGCGCACGUUCGUGGCGAGCUGAGCAGCGCGCCGCGGUCGUACGUCGUCGCUGUGAUUCCGCUGCGGUUUGACGGCACCGCUGGGCCUGUUCCCUCAGGUUCUGCGAUCUCGUCCUCGGCCACAUCCACACAUGCCGCUGCUUCGACGCUGCCGUCCACGCCGUAUGACAAGCGUGCUGUUAACGCGCAGGCUCGCGGGGCAGGUCGAAGUGCGUCUGCAGGCGUCUUCGCCUCCGCCUUCGCCAGGAUCGACUUGCGCACGCAGAUGGAGCGGGUGCGGCUGAGCUUCACCGUCGCUCCCUGCAGCAGGACCGGUGGCGCGGGCGCGGCUGCCAACCGCACGGUCGCCAACGGUGCGGCUCACGCAAACGCGGGAAAGCGGCUGCGCGAGGAGGCUGGCAAGGCCGCUGACGACUCAAAGUCCGCGGCCUUGCCAGACUGCACGAUUGAUGUGACGGUGGUGGGCACGGUGUCACCCAUUGCGUAAUCUUUAACGUGCGUGCGUGUUUCGUUCCUCGAUGAAGUCGCAUCAGAAGG